rnacentral:lncRNA from 1 species
GGCAGUGCUUGCAAAGGCCUGAGUCUGAGGUACUUCUUUAUAGCACUGCAAGAAUGGACUAAUACGCUAUGUGAAGACAAAGGGGAUGUCUGCAAGCCAGGACGAGUGCGUCUACCAGAAACUGAGUUCUGCUGGACUUUGAUCUAGGACAUCCAGCCUCCAGAAUGGAAUGUGCCAUAUGUGGAGACCUGCAUGGAAAGGAACUGAGGAUGCUCUCUCACUAAAAGCUAGAAGGAACUGAGGCCCUCAGUCAACAGUCUACAAGACACUGAAUCUUGCCAGCAGCCAAGCAGUGAGCUUGAAAGCAGAUCUAUCAUCAGCUGAACCUUCAGAUGAGACCGCAGCCUAAGCAGAUACCUUGGUUGCAGCCAUGUGAGACAACCUGAAACAGAGGGCACAGCUAAGCCUCAGCCAGGUUCAUGACCCUCUGAGGAAACUGUGAGAAAGCAAAUGUCAUUUUAAGCUAUUUAAUUUUGGAGGUAGUUUAUUACACAACAAUAAAUAACUAUUAUAAUUAUCUUGAGGAUUUAUUUCCUGGGGAGAAUACAUGGAAUUGCAUAUAUAGGUCCUCAUAUGCAGAAUACUGGUACCCUAGAGAUGUUCACCCCAGAGAUGUUUUAGGAACCUGUGAAUAUGUUACAUUAAAUGGCAAAGUUUUCCUGGAUGGUUUAAGUUUAAGAUGGAAAAGUUUUACUGGAUUAUCCAGUGGGUCCAAUCUAGUAACAUGAGUCCUUAAAAAUGGAGAAUAUUUUUUGGCCAUGAUCAGAGAGACAUGUGAUGAUGGAAAAAGUGUCAGAGAUGCAAUGUGAGGGGACUAAAACUGCUGUUGCUGACUUUAAAGAUGGAGAGAGGGGAACCCGAGUCAAGGAAUGCAAAUGGCCUCUGGAAGCUGGAAAAAGCAAGAAAUGGAUUCUCCUUUAGAGCCUGUGGAAUAAAAUGCAGUCAUGCUGACACCUUGAUUUUACCUCAGUGAGACCAAUACUGGAGUAUGACCUUCGGAGCUGAAUAAAAUUAUACGUACACAUCUUAAUUUCUUGGGAUUUGAUUACUUCUUCUGCUUUGAAAUUAGACCAAGUUUAGCCUGCCUUUGCUAUUUUGGCGUAUCUCCAAUUCUUCAUGAUUUUCUCAUAGUGUUGCCUCCAUAUGAUGCAAAAUAUCCAACCUAGCCCUGACAUGAAAACUUAAUUGAAAGUAUCCAACAGUGGCGCAAAGGCCACAUAAGGACAGUGAGAAGGCAGCCACCUGCAAGCCAGGAAGAAAGGUCUCACCAGAUACCAACCCUGCCAGCAUGUUGAUCUUGGACUUCCAGCCUCCAAAACUGGCCUUCUGCUCACAUGGGCUUCCGUGCACCUGCUUCAGGAGACAGCAACACUUGCGCCCGCACCGCGGCAGGCUCCCAUCACCUGGUGGAUAUGCCGCGCCGAGUCUCAUCACACCUUAGUGAAGGAACACAUGGACCCAUAUGUUAGCGGAUGUAUUUACAUCGUUUUAUACAGAAAGGGGAAGUAUGUUUCACAAUAAAUGUUUGCAUACUUU